CGGCGGACGGGUGAGUAAUGUCUGGGAAACUGCCCGAUGGCGGGGGAUAACUACUGGAAACGGUAGCUAAUACCGCAUAAUGUCUGCGGACCAAAGCGGGGGACCUCCGGGCCUCGCGCCAUCAGAUGAACCCAUAUGGGAUUAGCUUGUAGGUAAGGUAACGGCUUACCUAGGCGACGAUCCCUAGCUGGUCUGAGAGGAUGAUCAGCCACACUGGGACUGAGACACGGCCCAG
rnacentral:rRNA from 1 species